CCUUUCCUAUUCUCCUCUUCCUCUCCACCUCAAAGCAGGUCUGGAGUCUUGAGGAGCGUCGUCGCAACCCUGCUGUGUGGAUCACCGCUAGAGAGGAGGACGCUUGACCUCCUUCACCCUCUCCUAAGGAUCUGCAAGGAAACAGGGAUAUACGAUCUCCCUAGGUAACACAAUCUAUACGCAGUUUCAUGUUUCGCGGAUUUUUGCGCANNN
rnacentral:lncRNA from 1 species